rnacentral:piRNA from 1 species
ACCCCGAGGAACAAGGUGUACAGGGA